CUAUUCUCCAUCUUCUUGGGUGUCCAGGGACAGUUGUAGGAGUGGCUCCAGCAUAGCUACAAGGGCAGGCUCUGAGGUGGUAUCUGCCCCCAAAAAUCAUUUCUGUGUUGCAUGAGCAUCAUUUGAAAAGACCUGCCGCAUCAUCCCUACCAAUAGGGCUUAGAGACAGGUUUUCACCGUGUUAGCCAGGAUGGUCUCGAUCUCCUGACCUUGUGAUCUGCCCGGUUGGCCUCCCAAAGUGCUGGGAUUACAGGCAUGAGACACUGCGCCUGGCCACUCUUGUGUAUCUUAACAUGACACACCAUCCGUCAGAAACGUCUCCAUUUAUUGAAGCUCAGAUACCAUUGCUUCAAGGUGAGAGCUGGUAUAACUGAAAGCAAAGAAGACAUUGCUAAGUUGAACAUUUUAACUAGUUUUAAAAAAAUUGUUAAAACAGCAUUGCAGAAACAAUAAUCUGGUAAGCAAGGCUUUCAUUUGCAAGAAUUUUACAAGAGAAAAAGGAUAUGCAUGACUUUAAUAGCCCAAACUUGAAGUACAGAGUCUUUACUAUAAGCCAGUACUUCUCAAAGUGUACUCUGUGGACCUCUGGGUACUGGCAUCAAAUGCCCUUGUAGUCAUUGUAUUCUUCAUCACCAAGGAGUUACAGUUUUUUUUUAAAUAGCUUAAGAAUGUCCUUGCUGAAGCAGUAAAAAAUUAAUUUUAUUAAAUUUUGAUCCUUGAGUGCACAUAUUUUUCAAUAUUUUGCGUGGUGAAAUGGGAAAUAU
rnacentral:lncRNA from 1 species